GUACAUUCUAAUGUUAUGUACUUCCGCCAACUCCUGAACUCUCUCAAGAUGGCUAAUGGGAUCAAACAAGCUUUCAUCAUCUUCUCUCAUGAUUACUUUAGCAAAGAAAUAAAUAAACUGAUCCGAGGCAUCACUUUUGUCCGAUACAUGCAAAUAUUCUAUCCAUAUUCGAUACAAUUGCACCCAAAUGUCUUUCCUGGACAGGACUCAACACUAUGUACUGAAGGCUACGUGUGCACGAAGUCAAAUCUGAGGGACCCAGAAGCAGCGCAGUCUAAGCACCACUGGUGGUGGCAAGCCAAUCAGGUUUUUGACAACAUAGAGAUAAUGAAAGGGUUUAACACUUCUAUAUUAUUUCUUGAGGAAGGCGACUAUGUGACUGAAGAUUUCUUCUUUACCUUCAAAUUGCUGAAACAGGCUCGCUAUCAACAUUGCCCAUUUUGUGAGCUGAUAAGCUUAGCCGCACAUGAUCCUGAAUUAUCAAGAUACGCUAAAAGAACCCUGAUAACCGUAGAAAUCUGGACAAAUCGGAUUCGUAGAACUGGGCUCGCUUUCAACAGAAAGAUCUGGAAUGCUCUAAAGAAAUAUAGUCGGGACUUUUGCUACCACAACGACUACAACUGGGAUAAUUCUUUUAGACAUGUAGGCAUUAGAAACUGGGAAGGAAAUAUAUACAUGACCGCUGUGUCAGGUCCCAGAGUUUUCAAUCUCGAGAAGUGUGAUGAUAAGGAUUCGGGAUGUCGGGUGGAGUACCAGUGUACUGGGCUACAUCAGGGUCGUGUGCCGCCAAACUGAUCAAUUCACAAAAAGGGCAAUGGAUAUUUCUGGCAUACUGAAGCAGUUUAUACACGACCAAAACAUCUUCAGUCACAUAAUUAUCUUCCUCCAAAAAUAAAAUGGGAUCGCUAAAGUUUUGCAGGACAUGUAGAUGGUCAAAUAUCUGGUUGGCUUGCCACCACCAGUGGUGCUUAGACUGAGCUGCUUCGGGAUCUCUGUGGUGUCCUAGAUUACAAGGAAAACCAUGUACACAAGAUUUAGGCUCCGAUCCCGGGAAUACGUUAGGAUGUAACUGCAUGGAGUAAGGAUAGAAUAUUUGUAUGUACUUAGCAAAGUUGAUAGUCUUAAUGAGCUUGUUGAUUUUGUAACUGUAGUGGUCGUGAGAGAAGAUUAGAAAGGCCGAAUUGAUAAAGACUGCUUUCUUCAAAGCUUCUAAGAGUGUUCGUAAAUAAUACACGUUCGAAUGACAUUGUAUGACAAUAACAUAGGUCCUAUUGUUGACGGGUCCCAAGUAUCUGUUAUUCACUGAUUGCUUCGUGUUAAUCCAUUUAAUCCUUGACUUGAUUUUAUAUAUAUUUCUCAUGUAAUUUCUCUGAUUCCAGAACAACUUUUCCGCUUUUUCAUUUUCAAAAUCGUAUUCAUCGUCGUGGUAAUUGUGAACGUAGUCUCGUUUCAACUUUUUGACGUACUUCACUUGUUCAUAGACAGCAUAUAUUACUGAAGCCACAGUAAAAAGGAAUAACAAGCAAUAUAUCCGCCACGAAUUGAAUAGGAACAUCACCGUCAGGAGCCCACACUGAGCCCUGGACAUUCGUCGUCGUCCAAGACCAAGAGACAA